rnacentral:snoRNA from 1 species
GCGCGGUGAUGAACAAUGAACUCUCUCACUGAAUCUUUAUGUGGCUUACCUACAUUAUCAGAGCGCG